rnacentral:rRNA from 1 species
GACGAACGCUGGCGGCGUGCUUAACACAUGCAAGUCGAGCGGUAAGGCCCUUUCGGGGGUACACGAGCGGCGAACGGGUGAGUAACACGUGGGUGACCUGCCCUCAGCUCUGGGAUAAGCCUAGGAAACUGGGUCUAAUACUGGAUAUGACUCCAUGACGCAUGUUGUGGGGUGGAAAGCCUUGUGCGGCUGAGGAUGGGCCCGCGGCCUAUCAGCUUGUUGGUGGGGUGAUGGCCUACCAAGGCGACGACGGGUAGCCGGCCUGAGAGGGCGACCGGCCACACUGGGACUGAGACACGGCCCAGACUCCUACGGGAGGCAGCAGUGGGGAAUCUUGCGCAAUGGGCGAAAGCCUGACGCAGCGACGCCGCGUGAGGGAUGACGGCCU